CUCUUUCUCGUUUUUGUUAUGUCAUGUGCUUCUUCGCUCGCCAAAUUCUGAGUCUUCUUCUCUGUAGAGGUUUGGAGCAUGUGAUCUAGUUCUCCAAUGUUUCACUACAUUUUCUUUUCAUUUCAUUCACUGUUCUAAAAAUUCCCACCUAAGCGCUAGGCGGUUGGCCACCGCCCCAAUUAAUGCCUAGGCGUUUGAAAAUUAUAGAAGGGGCCUAGACCUGCUGAGGCGCCCGCCUAGACCGCCUAGGUUGCAACUCACUUAGACAAAAAAUAGAUAACUUUCAUUUUGCAUCUUAUUUUUUUCAAUAAAUUGUAAGAGACUUGUUGAAUACUUAAAUGAAUACACAUUAUAUGCAUGUUCCCCAUGUUUUCAUUAUGUUCCAAUACUUCCUAAUAUAUAUGAUAUUCUAUUUUGUAGUUUAUAAGAAAAUUAUAUAUAUAUAUAUAUAUAUAUAUAUAUAUAUUAAGUAUAAACAGACACUUAUUUACACGAAAUAUAAUAGAUUUACUUAAAUCCGUCUAGCCGCCUAGGCGUUAGGCCCCAACUCACCGCCCAACUAGCGCCUAGCGUCUUUUAGAACCUUGAUUUCAUAUGAUCAGUGCUCUUCUUAGAGACGAGCAUUUUAAUUUUUCUCUCUUGAAUCUUAGAGAAGGAGAUGCCUAUUCGUACUUGUACUGUGUGUUUCUCUUUACAUCAUUUGUUUGUACUUUUAACAUUUGAUAAUGAAUUUUUUAUUUUAAGAUUGCAAAUAAAGGCUACAAAAUUACGUUCUACAUAGACCAGAAUAAUUUAGAAUACCUUUUUGUAGUAAAAAGAUGAAAAAUGAAAAUACGAAAUAAAAAAGUGUAACCACACAUGAAGUAUUGGAUCACUAAUAAUGUUAGAUAACUAGUUGAUUUAACGCUACUCAAUUUUUCAUUUGUUGAACUUCGAUUCUCUACGCAAUAAAUCCCAACCCUCUUUAGGGACCAAAGCUUUGAUUUUGGUCACCCAUUUGGGCCAUUUAAAAUGAUAUGAUGUUCUAGAAGAUAACUAUUUAUGUGCGGAUUCAACAAAGUCUUAUGUUUUCUUGAUCAAAGAGUAUAUAAUUCACUCAAAAAAAAGAGUAUAUAAGAUUCUAUUCCCAUGGUCCAGUUAGCAUCUGCACAGGUUCUUUGCUUUCAUGGAAAAUGAAAUCCAUUGGCUUUUUUUGCCUCCUCUCAUUUCGUCAGACAACGAUGUGCGGGUUUAUAUGUGAGUUUUCAACACUUUCGAAUAUCCCAUGAGAAGUAGUUUUUCGCCACAAAACCCCCCCCCCCCCCCUCUUCCUUUUCUUAUUCUUCUUGCCGUCGUCGACUUUGAGCUUUAGGAGGCCACAUAAUCCCACAGCACACCAAACUUAAUCAGGGAGGUUGGCCUGCCUUCACUGGACGGUAGCAUUAAGCAUCAUACACGUGGGUUAUCCAAAGACAUUUUUUAUACACGUUUUUAUGAGACUCACUACGUAAUGUAUUUCAACGAUCUAAUCGUCUAUUUAUUAGGUAUUCUCUCAAAUAUAACCUCUACCAAAAUCACCCAAAUCCGAAGUCAUAUAUCCGUUGGACUAAAUUUAUUGUUUUUGUGUAAAAUCGUACUAGUCUAUUUUUUUUCACUAAACAUGAAUGGCUUAAUGAUUUUAGAUUUGUUUAAUAUUUUUUUUUUUUACAAUGAUUAUCUAUGAAAGAUGAAUUAAAAUAUAAACGGUUCAGUUCGUUUAACCACAUUACAAAACAAACCUUACAAAAUGUGUGUAAAGGACCGGUGUCCCAUCUUCCUCACCCCCACAUACAUACAUAUAGUCAAAGAAAAAGAAAAGCUAAGCAACGUACACGAAUGAUGUGAUAAAAGAGUCCCGAUUCUUGCUGGAUCCUCUUUGUGAGGAUCUCGGUGAUCUGUAAAUCGUAUCCAUUCAUCGUAUAUCGUACGGUUAAAAUUUAUUUUAAAUAUUUUUAUUUAAAAAUAAACAUAAACAGUAUUUGACAAAAACUAACCGCACGAUGUACGAUGAACGGACACAAUUCACGGAUCUCCAAGAUCCUCUAUUGGCUGAUAAAAUAAUUAGACAUGCUUUAAAAUAUUAUAAAAGCUAAAUCAAACUGGAGAAAAGAAACAUAGAACUAGGUAACUCUAUUAAUUAAAUUAUCAUAGUCCCAAUCUUAUAUUUUUUUUAUUUGAUUUAAACGAUGAUAUAUAUACACGAAUGAAGUUGAUAUUUACAUUUAUUGAGGGCUAUAGAGGUUAAGUCACACAAUAUGCUAGUCAAUAAAUUGAUAACGAGUUCAUCAUUUGCAAUAGUUAAAUAUAAAACUUCUCACUUACAGAGUAAAAUAAUACUACUAUAGAACGGAGUUAUAAAUAAUCCCUUCUAAAUUUUUAGGUUAACUAAUAAUAAAACGUGUUACAAAGUAGGAAAGUUGGUGGCCAAAGAAAACCCAGCUGCCUCUCUUUCCUUCACAAUCUCCCCUUUAUACAUACAAAUCCCAAGCCCCCCUUCUUACACUAAACCCAGAUAAACUCAUCAUCGAAACCCCUCUUUAUUUUCUCAAAUUUCACAGAAAUAUUUACUUAAUUUCACUUGCAAAUGGCAUUUAGGAGGAGGAUUAAUGAAUUAAUGGUGCUAACUUUGGUCUUUUUUAUGGCUUUGUGGGAAGGAGGCAGAGUUGUUGCUCAAUCUUCAAGUUGCACCAAAGUGAUAAUUAGCAUGUCCCCAUGCCUUGAUUAUGUAACAGGAAACUCAUCAUCCCCAUCUUCCUCAUGCUGCUCACAGUUUGCCAAUGUAGUCAGCUCUCAGCCACAGUGCCUCUGUGAGGUCCUCAAUGGAGGUGCUUCUUCACUUGGUGUGACUAUCAAUCAGACUCAGGCCUUGGCUCUCCCCUCUGCCUGCAAUGUCCAAACUCCGCCGGUUAGCCGCUGCAACGGUAUAUAGAAUGAAGUGUUAUUGUCGUCAGAAAAAAAAAGAAGAUCAUUUUGUACUCCUUUGAAUGUCAUUUUUCUUUUGAGUACUUCAAUUUAGACACAAAAAACAUGAAGGUUUUCUUCAUGGAAAAAUAGAUUAAGUAUGUUGAUUUGAACUUGUAUAUCUCACAAGCAGUGCGUCAUUUGCAUUUGGUUCUUUUCAAAUGAACUGAUAUGUUGAAGGCAAGAUGGAAGGAGUUUGUCCUCCUUCAUGGGCAGUUACAUAUAAAUUAUAUUUCAUUAUUUUCAUGAGAUAACAUAUCAUUGGCAAUAUGCUUUCUGCCCAUGUAAUGUGGUGAAAGGAACAAGAAAAAAAAGACGAGAAGUUUGAACAUUAUACGUGCAAGGCAUGGGUAAGUGUAUAACUGUUUCCAAUGCAAAAAUCUGAAAGGUCAUAACCUUUCAUCAGUGCUAGUCGUUAAUCGAUUAGGUUUGACAUAAGUUAAUUUGGUAAGUAUCUCUCCAUUUGGAUGGAUGUAUCUAUUCAAACAAAGGGAUGAAUGCUUGAAAUAUGAAUUAUGCCAAGCAGUGUUGUGCUUGUGGUGGCAAGUUCAAAACCGAAUUUGUUUGUAUUUCAAGUUUCAAAUAUGGGUUGAUGUAUCCAAACUUCUGCCCAGUUCGGUUGAAGUUUGCGUGAUGAUGUGCAUUGAUGACGGUCUAUUUAUAUGGGAACAAUGGUUUGCAUAUAUAGCAUGUGAAUAAGUGGUUGAUAAUUUAAUUAUGAGAUUAAUUUUCAUAUAUUAAGUGCGUGAUAUAUGAAUGAGUCAAUGAAUAGCAGACAUUGGCGUGAAAGUCAAACCUAAGUUAGCAAAUUAUGUGGUUGAAGUCUACUCCUAGUGUUAGCAAAUGAGUCAAUGAAUAGCAGACAUUGGCGUGAUAUAUGAAUGAGUCAAUUAAUUUGCAUAUAAUAAAUGUGGGUGAAGUCUACUUCCUAGUGUUAGCAAAUUAUUGUGUAAGUCCUAACAUAUGUUUCGAGGAAUUAACAUUUGAAAACAACUACCUCAUAUGAAUUAAAAAUUUCAUAAGAUGGAUUGUGCACACCAUUAAAGAUAGUCAACCUAGUAUGAGAAUUAAAAGUGGGUGCUUCUAUGAGAAUGAGAUGGCUAAAUUCUCUAAAGCUCUCAUGAAUCCGGGAUUUGUUCAGGACCAAAAUGAACACAAUCGUAUGAAUUGUAAUAUAUUAGGAUUAGUGAUGUGUGUUGCUUAUUGUCUCGGUUUACUGCUGCGGUGAUUAGUUCAAGAUUCCAUAUCCACUGCAUCACCUAGUAAAUCAGAUAAGUAUUCACUAGGGUAGGUUCAAGUCCAAAAGACACACCUCCCAAUGCAUCUUUUAUUUGCAUGUACUCUCAAAUUCUUCUAAUUUCAUUCAUGUGGGGGAUUGUUGGAAAUUAAAUAUUAUAAUUAUUAUAUUAUAAUAUUUAAUUAUAAAAUAUGAAUGAAAAAUAAGAGUCAGUUAAAGGUUAUAUAUCAAAGGGUGCCGCAAGGGGAGCAAUUAGUGGUGUGUCUGUUAAAGGGUAUUGCUUAACUACCUAACCCUAAAAGAUACAUCUAUUCGGCAAACAGUAUAUUUGAGUUCUAUAAAAACUUAAGAAAUAUUGUCUUUUAAGAUAUAUAAUGAAGAAAAGAGUUUUUUUUUUCAAGGUCUUUAAUUCUUUGUUAGUCACAUUCCGAGUCGUGUCUUGAGAGUACGGAAUAUAUGAAGUUCGCCAGAGUUUGAAGAUUGAAAUGCUUUGACUUCGGAUUAUAGAUUGUUGAAUCCUGGGAGACAUGCGCCUACCGAACUACAAGCACAAGAGUAGGUGUGAAAUUAUGUCUUGAGGACAAUGCAUUUAUGCAAGCCUCAAUCUCCAAGUUUGUCAGUAUUUCUAACUUUCUCUCUAGUUGUUUAUGUUAAUCUCAUAUAUAAUUGAUAUUGUGAAUUUGAUUAUUAUCAUUGGAAUUAUAUUGUUAUUUUUUUUCAUAUUUUUUUAAUAUUGCUCCAACAAUAUCUUCAUGCUUAGCUACCAUUAGGAUGUUUAGAUAAAUAAUGAUACAAUUUCUGUUGGAAUGUCACAUUGAAAUUGAGGAAUGCUUCUUCUAGUUAAUAAUUGUAUCUUCACUUAGGGCGAAUGCCACGUCUUAAGGGUUUCAUGAUUUUUCAAAGGCUUUUCACAAAGAGUAAUAAGUCAUGCAUGUUUACAUUUGAUCUAAAUCACAGACAGAUUGCAUGUUUGAUAUAUGUUUUAUCUUUCUUUUUUUUGAAGGAAACGAUAGUAAUUUUUCAUUAAUAAACCGAGUUAUACAAUGAAUCAAGGAAAAUUACAAGGGUGAAGAACAAUCAUCAACUAGAAUAUCCAAGAUAAUAAUAGGAUAAGACCUAAACCAUUCACAACACUGAUCCAAUGUAAGACUGAGACAUGCUAAUCUAUGAGUUGCCCCAUUGGCUUGAUGAUGAAUGUAGGAAAUAAAAACUUCAGUGACUGCCGAAGAUAGCAUUUUGAUAUCUUUUAUAAUUUGCCCAACGAAGGACAAGUUAACCAAAGUAUCUUGCGAUGCAUCGACAAUUUGAAGCGAAUCAGACUCGCAUAAGAUGUUAGUAAAGCCCAUUUGAUGCACCAAAAUCAAGCCAAUUCUAAUAGGCAUAGCUUCCAACUGGAGAGGUGAGAAAACAUUAUAGAAAUUCCCACACUUCGCAACCACAAAAUCCCCUGAGUCAUUGCGUACAAUUAUCCCAAAGCCCCCCAAGUUCUUGUUGAUAUUCCAAGAACCAUCGAUAUUGAGUUUGAGGCGUCCAAAUGGGGGAAGACAACAUUUUUCAUGGGAAUGGCAUGAUGGAAGAAGAGUUUUCACCUCAUUGAUAGACACAAAGCUUUUCCACCACUGAAUUGCCCAAUCUACAAUAACAUCGAGGGGAUCACAUUUGCUAUUCCAAAGCAUUUCAUUCCUUGCUCCCCAAAUAGCCCAACAUAUCAUCAUAAAGGACUCAAACAUAGCCGGUUUGAUCAGUUCAGCAAUCUCCGUAACCUAGAAAAAGAAAGACGGAGGAGAAGAGCCCCGGAGUAAGCUCCCAAAAUGGGAGGAUAGCCAAGCGCAUUUUGCAAAGGGGCACUCCAUUAAUAAAUGGAGUAUAGACUCCUCAUGAUGAUUACACAUCACGCACGGUAGAUCAGUGGCAAUGUGGUGCUUGACGAGGUUCGAUUUAGUGGGAAUAAUGUUAUUACAAAGACCUCGCAUGCAUACUUUGACUUUUGGGGGAACGUUGGCCCUCUAUAUCUUAGUCUAGAAACCAACAUAAUGAAAGUUAAAAAAAAAGAAGAGGCACUAGAGGAAAUUGGUUGCACCUACUCCUAAGCUAAGUGGUAGGCACUUUUAACCGUAAACUUUCCUCUUGUUUUGUAGUGCCAAAUUAGUUGAUUAGCAAAUUGCCUUAUGCUCAUAGGGAUAGACCGAAUAGAACAAGUUUCCAUCUCAAAAAAGAAAGAAGUCAGUAGGUCAGAUUUCCAUUUUUUAAGUGGUGGGGUUGAUUAACUUAUUAACCGUCUCAAGGAGGCAGUUUACAAGUUUGGGAGAGAAUAUUCAAAAUCGGGUUGGUAAUGGGAUCCACAUAUCACCCUAGAUGUUGAGCAAAGUACCCUCACCAACUUGCCAUCUCGAGCAGCACAUACAUUUCUAAGAGUAUGAUGCAUCCGGAUUUACAAGGGCAAUGAAAAGAUUUGAGGUUGGAUAAUAUUUGGCUUUUAGCACUUUCGCCACCAAAAAGUGGGGUUCAUUUNNNNNNNNNNNNNNNNNNNNNNNNNNNNNNNNNNNNNNNNNNNNNNNNNNNNNNNNNNNNNNNNNNNNNNNNNNNNNNNNNNNNNNNNNNNNNNNNNNNNNNNNNNNNNNNNNNNNNNNNNNNNNNNNNNNNNNNNNNNNNNNNNNNNNNNNNNNNNNNNNNNNNNNNNNNNNNNNNNNNNNNNNNNNNNNNNNNNNNNNNNNNNNNNNNNNNNNNNNNNNNNNNNNNNNNNNNNNNNNNNNNNNNNNNNNNNNNNNNNNNNNNNNNNNNNNNNNNNNNNNNNNNNNNNNNNNNNNNNNNNNNNNNNNNNNNNNNNNNNNNNNNNNNNNNNNNNNNNNNNNNNNNNNNNNNNNNNNNNNNNNNNNNNNNNNNNNNNNNNNNNNNNNNNNNNNNNNNNNNNNNNNNNNNNNNNNNNNNNNNNNNNNNNNNNNNNNNNNNNNNNNNNNNNNNNNNNNNNNNNNNNNNNNNNNNNNNNNNNNNNNNNNNNNNNNNNNNNNNNNAAGUUCUUUAACAUUAAAGACUCCAAGAAGGUGAAAUUAGCUUCCUUUCACAUAGAAGGUUAAGCUUUGCAGUGGUUUCAAUGGGCCAGGUGUUUGACAAAAUACCCCAAUUAGGAUGAUUUCACUACAAUAUUAUGUCAAGAAUUUGGUCCUUUGGAGUUGGAAAAUUCUGCAAAAAAACUAGGUGAAAUUGAGCCAAGUAGGUACCCUCAAAGACUGUGAUUGAAUUCAAAAGAUUGGCGAAUCGUACAAAGAGACAUCAGUUCUGCAUUGCUAAAAUCAUGCUUUGUGGGAGGGUUACACCCUGAAUUGCAACAUGAUGUGAAGUUGUUAAAGCCAAAAGAUGUCAUGGAAACUUCUGCAUUUGCUCAUCAGUUGGAUGUCAAAAUUGUUGAUCUUAAGGUGAAAUCGAACACUAAACCUCCCUAUGUUCAAUCCAAUGUGUGAUUUCCUUUACAGAAUGUUAAUUCCAAUUUUGGGUUAGAAAACAAGCCUAGACCAAACAAUAUUAGGAGGUUAACACCUAAAGCAAUGGAUUAUUGUAGAAAAAAUAGGCUAUGCUUUCAUUGUAAAAAAAAAUAAAAAAUUGUUAAGGGUCAUACUUGUGAGAGGAAACAGCUGCUAUUAAUCGAUGUCCAAGAAACUGAAUUGUGUAUCACUGAGGAAGAAAAGAUUGAAGAACCUGAAAUCAUAACUUGUGCAUUAUUUGGUACACUUUCACCUCCAUCAAUUCAAACAAUGAAGGUUACAGGCUAUGUCAGGAAUUGUCUCUUAUUACCAUUUUGAUUGAUUCUGGAAGCUCCCAUAAUGUCAUAGAUAUGGGGCUGGUGAAAAGAUUGAAAGGGUCAUUAGAUACUAAUCAUGUGUUUAAUGUAAAGAUAGCAGAUAUAGGAAAAGUUGUUGCUUAAGGCACUCUAUAUAUCAGGCUCUCAUCAAACUUCAAGAUUUCAAGUGUGUUUUAGAUUUAUAUGUUAUAGCUUUGGGAAGGUGUGUUUCAGAUCUAUAUUAGGCUCUCAUCAAACUUCAAGUACAAUGGUUGAGAACUUUGGGUUAUAUACUGUGGGAUUUUGACAAAUUAUACAUGCAGUUCACAAGCAACUCUCAAACUUAUUGCAUUACUAGCCCAAGGGUGCCUAAAGAACAAUUGCAAGACAUUUCUGCUUUACAAAUGCAUAAAUUAUUUUCACAAGAUAUAACAAUUGGUGUAGUUCUUUAUCACUUUGAACCUGAUGAUGUCAGUUCCUAUCAUUUGGGAAUGGUGAAUAGUAGUAAGGAUGUUCAGAAUAUCACUGAGUUGCAACAACAACGAUUACAUACCUUGCUGCAUAAUUAUGAAAUGGUGUUUCUUAUCCCACAAUCAUUGUCUCCUCAUAGAAGUCAUGACCAUAGAAUUCCACUCAUUCAUGGUAGUAAACCUCCAAACAGUAGACCUUAUAGAUAUGGUUAUAUUCAAAAGACUGAGAUUGAGAUAUGUGUUGCAGAAUUGUUACAAGCUGGGUUUAUAAGGGUGAGCAAUAGUUCAUGCUCUUCUCCAGUGAUAUUGGUGAGAAAAAAGGAAGGUACUUGGCCCAUGUGUAUGGAUUACAGAUGCCUCAAUCAGAUUACUAUCAAAGAUAAGUUUCCUAUCCCUUUGAUAGAUGAAUUAUUUGGUGCUCAAUUUUUCUCCAAGUUAGAUUUGAGGGUAUGGUACCAUCAAAUACGUAUCCAUCCAAAUGAUGUUGAAAAGAUUGCAUUUUUGUACUCAUGGUGGACAUUAUGAAUUUUUAGUGAUGCCAUUUGGAUUGACAAAUGCCCCUGCCACCUUUCAAUGCCUUAUGCCAUUUGGUUUUCUUAUGAAUUUUUAGUCAUGUUGCACAAUGUAGAAUGAAGGUUCAAGCAAAUAAAAAGAGGUCUGAAAGAGUUUUUUUGAAGUUGGUGAUAUGUUUUAUCUCAUAUUGGUUCCAUAUCAACACAUUUCAUUAGCUACUACCCUUUCCAUAAGCUAAAACCUCGAUUUAAUGGUCAAUUUCUUGUGCUAGCUAAAGUGGGGCAUGUAGCUUAUAAAUUGAAGCUACAUGAUCACUCAAAGUUGCAUCUUGUCUUCCAUGUAUCUUGUUUAAAGAAGCAAUUAGGUGUAACAAUUCAAAGUACAGUACCAUUGCCUGUAAUUACAGAUGCCGGUAUCCUCCCAGAUGUACCAGUUGCCAUUUUGGAUCGCAUAAUGGUCAAAAUGAAUAAUUCAGUAAUCAUUGAAGUGUUGGUGCAAUGGCAGAAUCAUUCUACAGAUGAUGCAACUUGGGAAGCUUUUCAAGAUCCCAAACACAAAUUUCCAGAAGUGUGAAUUUUUGAAGUGGUGGCAUUAGUUGUUGGUUUGAAUUCAAAUUUUACUUAUGUGUAUUACUUUCCUUGUAAUCGUUAUUAAUGUUUUUUGUUUUGAUGAACCUGUGUUUUGAGAGGGGUAUUUUUAGGAUGCCAGAUGGCAUCAUCUAUGAUUGAUAAAUGUAUCGUAGAUAUAAGCAAUUAGUAGUCGGUCAAGGUAGUUAGGAUUGGAAGUUUGUUACAUAUAGUAGCUUGUACAAGAAGAAAGACAAUUUAUGAAUGAUAUGAGUUUUAUUUGAAUAUUCUCCGUGCAAUAUGUGAAGACGUAGAGUAGGGUUCUAACACAACCACAAACAUGAGAAACACCUCAACAAGCUUCUUAGUCAUCAUCUUUAAUUCGUUGUUAUGAUGCUUUCUGUUUUAAUUUCCUCGAUGUUUACAAGUUUCUUCGCGACUUGGUUGGGUAGAUGGAGGAGGAGAUGGACUAGAGAAUAAAUUAAUAAUCAAUUUGAAAGCUUAUUUUAGACAGUAACAUACAAGUGAUUGAUAUUGUUCUUGCUGUGAGGACAAAGUUCCACAUCGGUGAGGGACCAAACUAUGUAAUGGCUUAUAAGGAGUUAGGCUACUCCACACAUUGCCAAUUGGUUUUGUGGUGAAACCUCAACUUUCUUCAUGGUAUCAAAGUCAGGUUGUCCUUUGUUUGAAAGCCCAAGGGCUACAGGUGCAUGCUCACACUUAUCCCUUGUGUGAAAGUCUAAGGGCCACACGUGCUCACACAUCACCCAAUUUGUUGUUCAUGUGUCGGCUUAAAAAUUGACCAUACGUGCAAGGACAUGUUGAGAGUUGACGAUGUGAGGACAGUUUGUCUCAUAUCUUUAUGGGAUUAGGAGUGGUGUCCGAAUUCCUUAUACAAAAUUCACCAAGAAAACUCCUACUUCUUUGCACCCAAGUUUUCUCUCCUCCAUUUUUUAAUGCGGAUUGACAUCAACUUUUCAAGAAAAUUAAUAUAAAAGAAUACGUUGUUGUAGGCAUAAUUUACUAAACGGUUAUAGAAGCCAUAGAGAGAAAGAGAGAAAGGUGUAGCAAUACUAAAGAGAAGAGAAAGAUGUGUAAGUGUGGGUGUGUUAUAUUCCACUUCAUUAUGCCUUUAUUUAUAGUAGUAAGGAAUGUUAAUUCCUUACCCUUUUAGGAUUACAACUCUUAAUAGGUAAUCAACUCCUAAUAUUAAUAUAAGAGAUAUUCCAAGAUAUACUAGGAUUUACACAAUCAUAUUGCUAAUCUAAUAGGACUGCAACACUUCCCCUUGAGUGUGUAAAUACUCAAGUAAAUGGCGCAUCAGUUCUUCAAUGAUGAAACAAGUAUAGUUGAUGAAGUCGUCGACACAAUGAGCGAAUACGAGUCUCAAAUCAACGGAAGAAUGCAUAAAAAGUAAAACUCACAAAACCUCGCUAUGGUAAAACCCAAGAUGGGAGAAAACCCCAUAGUCUAAGGAGAAAAAUGAGAAGUUGCAUUAAGUCAAAACUUUACAUCUUUUGAACUCAAGUAGAAUAACUCACAAGGGUAUGAUCAGCCCAUGAUGGGUGCCUUGUUAAAACCUAGUUAGGUAGCAAAAACCUAGUGGGAAAAUGCUCCUAAUCGUAGGGAAAAAGAGUACAAUAAGAUCAAGUGAGUAUACUUCUGGAUACUCCUCCUGAGUUUGACAUAACUUACAAAUGAGAACUACAAGCAUUGCAUAUGAUUAGAUAGGCAAACCAAUUCCUCAGACAAGCUUCUGGAAGGUUGACUUCGGCAAGAACGUUGUGUAAAGGUUGGCAAGGUUGUCUGGGAUCGGUUUGCAUGACUUCAAUCCCCUUAUGCUUUGUUGAUGUAAAUGUAGACACAAUAUGUCUUGGCGUUGACUUCGUUAAUGUAUCAUGUAUUGGUCGGGUGGAUAAAUGCGGCAUAGUCAUCAUAGAUAGUUAUCGAGGCUCAACGAUGGAUGAAAACACAGUAAGUACUUCGAAUAUGCUCAACAAGAACUCCUAACCAUGUCUCACUUGUAGUGUAGUGAAGUGAGGUGAGUCUUGGAACGAUUCGAAGAUUUCGCAACUAAGGUCAUAUCGUGGACCUCUAAGAUUGCGAUAUCCCUAACUAUAAAGACAUAACCAUUUGGGGAUUUUUCCUUGUACGGGUUUAAUAAGUAACUGGCGUCAGCAUAACAACAAGGGAAGCAUCAUUCCGAAGAUCAGAGGGGUUGGAUCUGCUCGAGAUGCCUUGGGAUUUACCCUCGUAGUACCUUCAGGGUACGUCUUUAAUACCAAUUCAGUGGAUGCGUGUAGACGUGGUGCUGCAUCUUUACCAAGAUCAAAAGUGAAAGAGAUGUCCUGUCUUAAUACAAUGAGCUAAGUACAACAAAGCGUAAAGUUGAACUUAGAUAUAUUUCGGAUUCCAUAACCUUUUUAAGGGUCUCAUUUGCAUAUAACAUAUAGACGAUCAUAGAUAUACUCAAAGGUAACACAUUCAAGGUGUAGUUCUACUGGUAGACCAAAAUACCGUCAAAACAAUGCUUCAACUUCAAGUCAAGGCAUAAAUGAGUUUUCGCAAGAUCCUUCAUCUUAAACUCCAUUUUCAGGUGCAAGGUAGUUUUCUCAAGCUCUUCUUUAGUCUUAGUGAGAUUCAUGUCAACGACAUAAAUUGUAACUCUAGCAAUUCAGAAUAAGACUUCAUAGUUUAACAUGCAAGGGCAUAAUUCAUCCAUGACUGAUCAAAUAAUCACUUAGACGGGUAUACCACAUCCGUCAAAUUGUAAGUGAACGCCUCAAACAAGUUAAGAAGGUGUUCCGUGGUAUAGAACUAUUUGAAUCAGUCCAUAUAAUUCUUCGAGAACUUACAUGUAAAUCUCUAUAUCUAUAUCCCCAUGGAGAAAACACUAACCACAUUUCAUAAUGUUGCUAUCAAUCACAAGACGUUUGAGAGAAACCUUGCGUCGACAUGCAUCAUAUUGCACUAUUUCAUUCAUCUCAUAACACUUCUUUUCCCACUUGUAACAUAACGUGAUUACCUUGGGCAAUGUAGGAACGACAGGUCCAAUACAUACUUUGGUAAAAAAUUUGACUUGGAUUGUAACUUUAGUUUUCCAAUCAGUUCUACGUUGUCAUUUAAUCAACGAAACACGGUUCGAUAUCGUCGCUUUUCAUUUAUGUCGGUAGCUACCAUAUAAGUGAAAACAUCAUCGAUGGUAAUUUUAUUACAAUUCCAUUUAGCUCAUCCAAACUAGUAUACUGGACCAAGAACUUCAUGUCUCAGGAGUAAUCCGAAUUAAUCUCAUGAGAUGGAAAUGAUUUGAGACAGCGAUCGAGUUUAGAUUCAUUUUAUGAUGUGCCUUCCUCUUCUAGGGAAGUGAUCAUACGAACCAAGUGAUCUGUCAUGCUCUAGGCCAAGACAGAUUGAUUGGUUAUCCGCCGAUGUAUCGAACUGUCCAGUAGGGGCGGCACACCCUCCAAGGAUGUUGACUCGACUUCCAUUAAGUACGUCUAUCCUUGCAGGCAUGUUUGCAGCUGGUAUAUGAUCUCGUCACUUUAGCUAGAUCAGAGGAAUGCGUCUGGAGCAACAUUCUGAAAUCUAGAAUUCAUCGCACUUAUUUAUCAUACAUGUGCGGUAUUGGGAUCGAGAUGAGACGUAGUGAGCAACGUCCACACAAAUUCACGCCAUUCUCUAGGAACAUUGACAUUCGUAUCUCCCCCUAAUGGUGGGAAGACUAUCUUAUUAAAGUGACAACCCACAAAUGAGCGGUAAAGAGAUUGCGUGCAAAGGCUCGAAAAGAGCUAGUGCGAAGGAGAAUCAUAAUCAACAAAUAUUCACAUCCUUCUUUUAGGACCCAUAUUGGUACGUUGCGGCAGCGCAACUUGGCACAUGAAAUGCACACCCAAAUGCGUAAAUACGAAAAUUGUCAGGUUCGUACCCAAUAACCAACUAUAACAUCAUAUAGAUUGGAUGGCAAUGGGCCUCAAGGCAGACCAACAUAACUAUAUACAAGAUUGCAUAGCCCUAGGUAGAAACCGAAAACUUGGUAUGUUUACCAAAAUCCAAGCGAUCAUUUAAAUUGCGCUUUAUGAUCGCUAGGCGAGGCUAUUUGGGGUGAACAUGGGAAUUCGAUAUUCAAUUAUAAACCCAAAAUACAUGCAAUACUUUAUCAAAAAUCGUCGAUAUAAACUCUCCGGCAUUAUCCAGUCUCCCAGACCUUAUAGGAUAUGUAAGGUGGUGAACCCUUAAUCGACUAGGGGGUUUAGCAGCAAUGUGUGUGGACAAACAUGUGACUAGUUUGUCGAUUCAUUAACCAAAACCAUAAGUAUUUAUAUGGUCUGCAUUUUGGUUAGAUUAGUCCACAUAUAUUCCCUUGAAUCCACUGUGAAAAAAAAAAAAAAAAAAAAAAAGGUGGUUUCGUAUCUUUGCGAGGAAUGAUAUAGAAAAUCAAUUUCCCUAAUGAACAGGUUUGGCAAAGUGUGCUUGUAGGCACAAGAUCCUUACUUCGGGUAAGGAGAUGCAUUGUAGCAUCAUUGUUUGACCUAAGUAUCCUAAAUGGUCGUGCUAAAUCAAGUAAACUGCUCAAUCACCAGGCUUCAGGCCGGCCAUAUGUGGUGUAUUCCUAGUUGGGAGACAGCCCAUUGGCCCCAAAGCAAAGCUUCAGGCUCAUUUUUUGAGGUGCUACAAAGAUAUUCACUCUAUUUUCUUCAGUGGUUUCAUUUAUGAUCAUUGUUCUCUCGAAUAUCCUUUAAAACUCAACGACAGGGAAAAUUUAAGGUCUCUUAAAUGGUGAUGCAGUACCAUUCAUACAACGAGGAGCAUGCCAAUGCUCUUAAUCAAGUUGGAUAGACCUGAAGUCGUUGUUAGAGAUGUGAUUUAGGUGUAAAGUUAGUGUGCGUAGUACGCAUUCAUCCAGACAGCUAACUUUCCCACAUUCAUACUUAAUCACGUGUUUAAUUAAAUUGGUCACGUAUACAAGAAACAUAAUUCAAUUAACUCGUAUUGGAUGAUAAUAUCAUUAAGAUUAUUCAUAAGUAAAACAUACACCAAACUUGAAUCCAAGAACAAGGAAAAAAUGUUCACAAAGUAAAUGGUUUACUAAGGGGAUUCGGCCAACAAGGCCAUCCAUGUCAAAAUUAUGCUCUUCCAACGGUGUUUGGUGGAGCAAAAUUAGUCUCACAUAAUGACUACUAGAAUGGUACUCCUCAACAACAUUGGUAGGGCAUGAACAUGUGCAUAACCAAUGAUCUAUUCCAUCAAGACGGAAGUAUAGUCUGCAAGGUUAAGGUUCAUGAAUAUUAUCCCUUAUUCUUGAAGUUUUAGGUCUUAGGUGUCGAGGAUCACGCUUUAGGCAUGAUGCCACACCUUGGCAGGCCCUGAUUCUACCAUAUGUUUGUGGUAGUAAUUAGAUUCGAGAAUUUGGUGAACUUCCGCUUUCUACACUUGUUGCUUCAUGAGCGAGCUAAAAAUAAGGAAGGACAAGAAAAAGUAUUCUCCAGUCGAAAUUCGAUCGGAUUUAUAAACUUCAAAAUUGUACUCAUUCAUGGACGUAAUCAUGGUGUGCAUCGAGCAAUAUCUUUCAUGAUUAGACGGUUCAUGGUAUGAGCCACAGAGCCAUAGAAUCCUCGUUCAAGGGGUACUUCCAUUGGUAAUGCUUCGGGCAUAAGUCAUCAAAUGAAGAUCAUAACGGAGGCUUAUUCAGCUCUUCCAUGCCAUUGUCGGCUACAAUGGUUUCUCAGCUUCUUGAUAGUCAAGUGGAUAUUCACGUCUUGUACCCCACAUAAAGUGGUUUCUCUUAGAAACAUCCAAAUCAGGAAAAUCGAAUUUGUAAUGGUUCGACAAUCCACUAAAUUGGAGGGAACAAGAUUGUGAUUAGUGUUAUGGGAAUGACCAUAAGCAUCAAAGUUAGAACAUUCAAGUUCUAAGACAUGGUUUUCAUGAAAAAUGUCAGGUUUUCAUGUGUGUAUUGUUUUAUGAAAACUUCAGGUUCAAAGGCACUAAAUUUGAAACUACAGGUUCAAUUUUAGUUUAUGAAUGUUUAGUUCAUGAAAUAGAGGUUCCUGCAAGAACACAGAAUGCAAUAUAUAAUUAAGUGUAGUGGAUUUGAGUUUCUUCGGGAACUUAAGUGUGAGACCUUCGUUACUACAAAAGUAUGUCAACGGUUCAAAGUAUAAAAAUAAAUUAUUGAAUCGUUAAUGUCCAAUAGUGAUCUUCAUGUCAAUAAUUUUGGAUUCAUUAUCAGAUUAAUGGACUAAAGGUCACUUUUAAUUAAUUCAAUAAAUCGGGACCAUUCGGGGUCGAUUGUAAAAGCAAAAAUAAUUAUAACAUUCGGGUUAAAAUUAUUUAAAAUGCCAAAAAAAAAAGCAUUGGGUCAAAAAAGAAUGCUAAAUAAAGCAUUGGGUCAAAAACCAUAGCCCAAAAAAUUUUGGGUUGGGUGCCAUAAGUAGGCAAAGGCCAUAAAGGCCUCGGGAGUGGGCUACAGGCCACAGGCCUGGGUGUGAACAAAAAAGGGCAGCCUAAGUUGCUGGUUUUGGCCCAAAGAGCCCAACCAAGAGGCUGGCGUGAUUUUAGGCCAAGGAAAGGUGCAGGAACAAGCCCAAAGGCUUGCGGGUUGCGAGUGAAACCCCAGCCGUAACUGGGUUUCGAUUUUAGGCACAUAAACUAAGCCCAGCCCCAUGGGCUAGCUUAUGGAAACGCGGGCCGUGUCAAGGCUAAGCCUAGCAGGCACUAAUGUAGCUCGGGGCUGCAGGCCCGUGGUAAAAAACUGGACCAGGCACAUGGCCUAGUUAUCCACAGAUGCAGCGAAGCCCAAGGGCUUUGGCAAAGGGUCCAAGACGUCAAACAAUGUCGUUCCACAUAGCAAUUUAAUUGCGUAAUGCAUGAAACAAAUAUAUAUAUAUUGACAAAAUAUAUAUAUAUUGACAAAAUAUAUAAACAUAUACAAUAUAUAUAUAUAUAUAUAUAUAUAUAUAUAUCGUAAGGAAAAUAUAAACAAGAGGGGUUCAUGCAUCAUAGGGAGUGUGUUUUCAUGCUUCAAGGUCGUUUCAAAUAUCUUCCUUUAUUUUAAGCGUACCUUAUUGGCAGAAAACAACAAAAGCCUUUGAAUUUGUAGAAAAUCCUUCUCGAAAAGCCAGAAUUGUAUCUCCAAUGCGUUGUAUCACGUUCAACACAGAAAAAUUAAAUUGAAUCAAUAGCUUGUAGAUCAAUUCAAUAAAAUAGUAAAUUAAUCAUUAAAAUAAUGAUUAAAACGUAAUACUCCCUUGAUUGAAGAAUAAAUUCUCUUGUUAGCGCAGCGUCAAGAGCGUGCUGAUAACAUGUUGUAGGUAUAAUUUGUUGAACAGUUAUGGAGGCCAUAGAGAGAGAAAGAAAGGUACGGCAAUAGUAGAGAGAAGAGAGAGAUGUGUAAUUGUGGGUGUGUUUUAUUCCACCCCAUUGUGCCUUUAUUUAUAGUAGUAGGGAGGGUUAAUUCCUUACCCCUUUAGGAUUACAACUCGUAAUCAAUUCCUAAUAUGAAUAUAAAAGAUAUAUUUCAAGAUAUACUAGGAUUUACACAAUUACAUUCAUAAUCUAAUAGGACUGCAACAUACGUGGUAUUGUAUGGAAUAUUUAAGACAAUUGAUUAUACACGAGGGCUUGAUACUUGGUUGGGCGAGUUUAUGCAGCUGUCCACCUCACCACUGUUGAACAUGAAAUUGUCUAAUUUUCCUUUUAUAUUCUCCUUUAAGCAUGGAACGGCAAGGUGAUUGAAAAAAUGCCUCAUAUGUCAUGCGAACUUCGUCUUAAUCCCAAGAGGAAAAUAUACUGGAUUCGCCAUUGUACGUAUUGUUUGACUAGCUACCACACGUAGACAAUCGCUCGCCCCAAAUAGUUAAACAUAAUAUGAGCCAAGCUAACAAUGUUUAUUAAGCUUAUACCAUUCCAAUGAAGACGGUAUAAAUUAACGAUCUUAUAACAAUCCUCUUACUAGUUGUGGAUGUGAUAAACCAUACAAAAAGCAUGUGCUAGAGAGGUAUUAGUAGGACUUGAAAACCAUAAUUCCCAAAAUUAUCAGUAUGAAAGAUGGUGGGGGAACAUAGGUUAAACUAGAUGCUGAUGGGGUCAGCUGUGGUCUUCCGACUCCUUUGGUACUUUGUGUUGGAGCUUCUGGUUCAUCUGAUGGAGAUGCUGGCUGCAGAUCAUCAGAUGUUCCAGAUUCUGGUGCAGGACCUGCUGCAACCGCCAUAGAAUCUGCCCAUCAAUUCCAAUAGAUUAACGUUAGUAUUAGCCUUCAGAAAGAGACUUAAAACUUUCUUUGCAAUUUGAAGGAAAAAUUAGCUAGUAAUCAAUAAUUAUUACCUCCUGGACUUAGAGGUGAAGAAGCUGUUGGUGGGGGUGUUGGCCCUAGUAACCCAGAACCUGCCAGUUCAAGUACUAGUUAACACAUUGGCACAUCGCGAAAUGACCCGUUUGGUGGCCGGGAUUGGACUAUAGAGUCUCACCCAAUCCAGACGGGAUGUGUAAGUCACAAAUGUCGGACUGUUGCCCAAUUUAAUAAGUCCAGUCUUAACAUGUACAAGUUAACCGAACAAAGGACACGACAAAUAGGCCAUUUUAAUUGAUUAGUCGUGUAUUGUCUCAGCCACCUAACAAGGCCUAAAUUUUUACAUUCUUAGAUUAACAUGAAUUCUAACAUACCUGGAGCAGCUAAAGGACUACCAGAGGCUGCAAAUUAAGAAGAAAUAUCGCAAAAUUAGAUUUCUUAUACAAGUCGUCACUUAUAUAACACAUUCUUAGAAAAAUCUUAAAAUUAUGUGAGUACGUACCUUUGCAUUGCAGUGGGACGGCUCCCAUCCCACAAACUUGAGGAAGAGAAAGCGCAAGGGUUUGGUUAAUGGGCAGUUGGAAAGGGACACCGCCGGUUAUAAGAAGACAAGCGCAGUCCGUGCCCGUGCCCAUUAUUGACUUUAACGAAUUGCAACAUCCGGCUGUCGGUGGUGCGCCGCUGCUUGUACUCCCGGUGAUGAAAUUUACGCAUGGAGUGAUGCUGCUUAUCAUUGAGGUUGUGCAUGGUGUACUAAUCUGCCCAUUAACCCAUCUUAGUGAAAUGAUAAGGAGGGUAAUUGGGAUUAGACUCAAUCGAAAGUCCUUGAAUGAGUCCAUGAGUUUGUCUUCAAUGGAAGGCUCUGGGAAUUGAAAUACUGGGAUUUAGAACUUAGUUGGGUUUGGCUCAAGUUGAGGAGGUAGUUUAUAUAUAGCUGAUGAAAUGGAGAGGUUUUGAAUGAAAAAAUAAAAAGGAGUCGUUUUGAAGUGGGUUUUGGAGUUCAACAACUUUCAACUAAUCUUUUCAUAUACUUGGGGACGAAUCCCUUAAUUAUAGCAUAGUUCUACAUAGUGAGAAGGAUGUUCAAUAGUGUGUGUGACUAGGUAUAAGGUCAGGUGAGACCAAAAUAUAAAUAGAUUUUACAGCAUUGUGAAAAACGUAUAGUAAAUGACAUGGUCGAAAACUCUUAUUGGAGUUUUUAUAGUAAACUUUUGACUUGGUUACUUAAUGUAAAUCCUUUAACACAGUGAGGAUGGAGAACCUUGGGUGCAAUGGUACACUAAUUUAACAACUUGAGCUGCUUUUAGUGUAGGAAUUAGUACUUUUAACAACUCGAGUUACAAGCCAUUUGUCAAAUGUUUGAUGCUUUGCUUACAUAAAUUUGAUUCACUUAUAUGUAGGAUAAUCUUAUUUACAUACUUAUUUUUACUUCUCAUACACACCUCUCAAUUUUCAAACGUCAAAUCAAAUGAAUUGAAGAUCAUUAGAAAAAAAUUAACAAGAGUGUGUGGAAAGUAAUAAAAGGGUGUGUGAAUAUCAUUACCCCAAUUAUAUAGGGUGACACACAAGUUACUGGGCGGGUCCAAAAUCUAAAGUAGGUAAUCUGAUUUUAGAGCAUAUAAUUGGUUCAAAUAAUGACAGUUUCUUAUCUUAAUUUAUUGAAAAGCUCUUUUUAGUUGCCAACAACAUCAAUUCAGUUGAGGUUUGGCCACCCAAAUACACCAAUCUUAUUGUCUCUACAAAAAGAAAGUUCCCUAUAUAAAUCCCAUAUCAUCCCUUUUCUGUCCUCACUCAAACCCCAAAUCACAAAUAUGCAAAUUACACAUAUCUUUUGAAAGUUUAAUCACCAAGUCCAUCUCCUCGUUAUUUUCAAACAAGUCCACUUGACCAUGGCAUUCAAAGGAAUUGAGAUGGUUCUAGCCCUGGUCCUUGGGUCCAUGCUAUUGGGUGGAGUCAUGGCUCAGUUAAGCUGCACCAGCACAAUCACAAGCCUGGUUCCAUGCCUCAACUUCGUUACUGGAAACACAUCAAACCCUUCAUCUUCUUGCUGCUCACAGCUCUCUAAUGUUGUCCAGUCAUCACCUCAGUGCCUUUGCUCUUUGGUCAACGGUGCCAGCUCAUUGGGCAUCACCAUAAACCAAACACUUGCUUUGUCAUUGCCCAGGGCUUGCAAAGUGCAAACUCCUCCCCCUAGCCAAUGUAAAGGUAAGUUGAAAUUAUUUUAGAGUAGUGAUUUUCGCAGUUUCAGUUUAUCUCAUUGCACUCGACAAUGUAUCUAGAUAAUAAAUAAAUAUAAAAUAUUUAAAUUGAAGUGUUAGAAGUUAAACUAUGAAUGCCAAAAUAGCUUAUAUUAUUCAGGUAUUGAUGAAGAAAGUUGAGGUUCUAUCAUAAAUCAAUUGGUAAUUGGAGAGUACGAUCAAUUACUUAUAAGCACAUGCAAUGUCUCUCCUCCUAUCAGUGUGUGCUCAUUCUCAACAAUUGACCCAACAAUAAGGUAUUUUAUACUAAUAAGCUGGAACUGAUUUGAUUAAAGCAGGUGCCAAUGGACCUUCAACUUCAUCAUCAACUCCUCCAGCAAGUUCCCCAGCAGCUUCCUCCAAUGAAACACCUUCAGAAGCUUCUACUCCUGAAGCGUCCAUUUCGCCAUUGGCCUCGGACAUUCCUUCAUCUUCAGGUAUAAGAUAUUAUUCCAUAUCAACUACAGUGACAUGCAUCGUGAAAUGUUGUCUUCUCAAAUAGUCUAACAUAUUAUAUUGUCACAUUGUCAACUUAGAUCCGAAAUACUAACAUGACAUGUAUUAAUGCAGGAGGAGGUUCGAAAACAGUCCCAUCCACAAACGGUAACACAUCCGACGGAAGCACCAGCAGAGCACCUCUUCAUUUUGUGCUCUUUCUCGUUUUUGUUAUGUCAUGUGCUUCUUCGCUCGCCAAAUUCUGAGUCUUCUUCUCUGUAGAGGUUUGGAGCAUGUGAUCUAGUUCUCCAAUGUUUCACUACAUUUUCUUUUCAUUUCAUUCACUGUUCUAAAAAAUUCCCACCUAAGCGCUAGGCGGUUGGCCACCGCCCCAAUUAAUGCCUAGGCGUUUGAAAAUUAUAGAAGGGGCCU
rnacentral:lncRNA from 1 species